rnacentral:lncRNA from 1 species
GCUGCUGACGAAAUGAGCAACGAACUGGUGGCUCAUCUGAUCAAAAGAGAAGAUAGUACCCGACUUCAAUGCCGAGUACCAAUUUCUUGCUGCUCCCUUCAAGGUAGAUGGGAAAGCUCGGCACAGGAUGGCUUCUGGCACACCAUGGAGCAGCAUCAUUGUCCGAAAGGCCUCCAGGUGGUCAACCAGAUCCGAGGUCCCAUCGUAGCUCUU